GUCGGUAAGGAAGAAGAGCGGAAUUGAAAAUACGAGGGGCGGUAAAGAAACCCUAAACCAUGCUUCUAGGGUUUCGAAUUCCGACAACGUCUGCUAUUAGAAUCAGCUGAACGCAACUUUUUACAUCCGAAGAAGAUGACCGACGACAAUGGAAAACCGGAUAAGGGUAAUCAAUGGCAAUCGUCAAGACCACCAAACCAAGAGAAAGCGGAGGACAUGAAACUCUGGGGAAUUCUUCUUUUCGGUCUGAUCGGUGCCUCUGCCACCACUCUCGCCGUUGGUCAGCUGCGGAGAACUGUUGAUUGGGUAUAUACUCAGUUGAGCAGGUCACAAUCAUCAUG
rnacentral:misc_RNA from 1 species